CCAUUUUCCAUGCUAGCAUUAGUUAAAAUGGAAUAACACAGAAAAGAUUUGGGUGACCAUUGCACAAGAAUACCACACAAAUAUCUGAAGUGUUCCAUAUCUUU